ACAGGUGACUGAUGCCGAGUGAGAAGGUAUACCUGACACAUACCCCCAUCAGCUAACAGACAGGUGACUAAUGCCGAGUGAGAAAGUAUAGCUGACACAUACCCCGUCAGCUGCAAUAAAGGAACCACGAGACAGUCGACUGAUGCCCGGUGAGAAGGUGAGCCUGACAUAU